GUGCUUUGACAGCACAUAUACUAAAAUUGGAACAGUAGAGAGAAGAUUAGCACUGCUCCUGCGCAGGCAGCCUUGUGUUUGCUACAAAUCUGUACCGGUUUU
rfam:Mesocricetus auratus contig086892, whole genome shotgun sequence.